UGCCACAGCCAUAUCACCCUGCGGCCCAAGACUGGUUGCCCACUGAAGCUAAGCAGGGUUGAGCCUGGUCAGUACCUGGAUGGGAGACCUCUUAGGAAAUCUAGAUUGCUGUUGGAA
ensembl:rRNA 5S_rRNA 5S ribosomal RNA